AUGAGUGAUUGAAUGGCUGCGGUAUUUUGACCGUGCUAAGGUAGCAUAAUCAUUUGUCUUUAAUUGAGGGCUGUAUGAAAGGUUGGAUGAAGUAAUAACUUUCUUAAUUUAAUUUAUGAAUUUAAUUUUUAGGUUAAAAAGCUAAAAUGUUUUUAUAGGACGAGAAGACCCUAUAGAUCUUUACAGUUUAUUAGGUAUAAUGAUUUGGUGAAUUAUUUAUUAUUAUUCAAUGAUUUUGUUUGAUUGGGGUGAUUGUGGAAUUCUUUUAACUUCCAUUAUUUUUUUUCAAUGAUUAUUGUUUUAUUUGAUCCAUUAGUAAUGAUUAGAAGAUUAAGUUACCUUAGGGAUAACAGCGUAAUUUCUUCGGAGAGUUCAUAUUGAUGAGGAAGUUUGCGACCUCGAUGUUGGAUUAAAAUUAGUGUUAGGUGUAGCAGCUUAAUAACUAGGUCUGUUCGACCUUUAAAGUUUUACAUGAUCUGAGUUCAGACCGGCGUAAGCCAGGUCAGUUUCUAUCCAUAAUUUUAUAAUGUAUUUUAGUACGAAAGGACCAA
rnacentral:ncRNA from 1 species